ACGACGAUCAAUCUUUAUCUUAUAUUAGAUGAUAUAUAUGAUACAAACUACAUUAUUUCUGUUAUAAAAUAUUCGAGAUAUCUUCUAAAUUUUAUUUCAAUUACAAUUUCAAAUAAUUGUUCAAAUGUACUAUUCCAAUGAAAAUUUGAUAGCGUGUUUUGAUUACAUGAUUCAUGCUUGAUAAGUCACGAGUUUAAUUGUACAUCAGCUCAGCGUAAUAUUGGAAGGGACUUAUAAAUAUAAUUGUGUUCUUGUUAGUAUAACAAAUUAUAACGAAGAAAGUAAAGUUGCAAGAAUUAUGGCUACUUGGGAUGGUUCUUAUUCAGGGCCAGAUGACCAAAAUUAUUGUCAAAUGUAUUCUGAUCAAAGCAUACCUGGGCCUGCAACAGGAAAUUGGACAUUAUUUUCUGAUAAUAUAAAUAACGAUUAUUUGCAACCUAGUCGUGAGUUCUACGUACAAAAUGAACCUAUAUUUGAACAGAAUAGUCCGAAUGCUUUCUAUCAUUCGAACACCAAUGUUAUGCCAAGUUUGUUGACUACAACCAAUAAUUAUCAUGGGCAUGUAAUAAACCCAGUAGGAAAUACACAAGUAUUAAAUAGUGAGGAGUACUUUCCAAAUGUUGUCAAAUCUCAACAAGGCUACGUAUCUGAUGACUCUUGGAAAUAUGAUAGCAAUGUAAUGAAGAACGAAGAUAAAUAUGCCUCUACAAAGAGAAUUACGGAAUCUUCAGGCAGCAUAGUCAAUCACUCAAAAUUACAUGUCAUGGCUGAAGAGUUUGUGCCAAAUAAUAGAGGAUAUGGUGAUAGAAGUAAAAAUAAAGAGUUAGAGAAUACAAAAUCUACUAAUGAUGCAAAUUAUCGUGUCACGGAUAACGGCAAGAUAUCAGAUAAAUACUUCUUUUGUAAUGAGAGUAGGCAUGAAGGUAAAUAUAACAACAAAAAAUGUUCUAAUUAUAAGCACAAAGAAAGACAUCAAGAUCAGUGUUACAAAAAAAAUGCAUAUACAAAUUCCUAUCAACAGCAUGUCAAAACUUCUCAUAAACUUCAAGGUAAUAAAUACUUUACUAAUAAGUAUUAUGCAGGAAAAUCACAAGUAAAUUCAAAAGUUAUAAAUGAAAAUGCAUUGGAUCAAUGUUCAAUGACUAAUAGUGCUACUUGUAAUAAUAAAAAGGAUCCUGUAAUAAAUUUGAAUAAAGAAGAAUCAUCAUUAAGUAUGAAUGUAUGUUCAAAUAAAAAUAAAAAUUUGUCGAAUGAGAUUAAUGAUAAAAGAACUAUUAUUGGUGAUAAUAAUGUCGUACAAGGUGAUAGCAUACAGCAGCCCAAAAAUUCGAUGAAGGAAUUUACUUACUAUAAUCCUGGUUUCAAACAGACCUACAAUAAUCAUAGAAAUUUAAGGAAAUAUCAGUAUAGUGAUAGAUAUAACAGGGAAGGAAAUUUUUAUAAAGAAAAGCGACAUCACUAUCCAGGAUAUGGUAGAGAAAAUUAUAAUAAAGAAGAUAAAAUUAAAAUAAGAAAUGAAAUGUGCAGUAAUGGAGAAUGUAGCGAAUAUAAAGAAUGUUUUAACGAGAGAACUGGAUUAGAAGCAAAAGAGAUAAAAGAGAAAAGGCACAACUAUCAAGGAUAUAAUGGAUUUAAAGAACAUCAUAAGGAAGCUAAACUAGAAAUCUUUAAAGAGAAAGAUAAAGGUAAAUAUUAUGUAUCUGAAAAUAAAGAGAAAGGAAAUGAACAUUGGAGAAAUAAAAGGGAAAUUAGCGAAAGAAAUAAUAUUCAGAAACGGGGACAAAAUAGGAAGUCACCAGUUGAUGAUGAUGCAAGUCAAAGAGAAAGACUAGCAGAACAGUUGAAUAGAGGACAAUUAGAAUGUUUAGUAUGUUGUGAAUAUAUUAAACAGAAUGAUUAUGUUUGGUCAUGUUCUAACUGCUAUCAUGUGUUGCAUCUGAAAUGUAUUAAAAAAUGGGCAAAGUCAUCACAAUCUGAAAAUGGCUGGAGAUGUCCAGCAUGUCAAAAUGUUAACUUAGUAAUACCUGAAGAUUACUUUUGCUUUUGUGGCAAAACAAGAGUACCUGAAUGGAAUCGUAGAGAUGUUGCACAUUCUUGUGGUGAAAUUUGCGCUAGAACAUUAUCCAAAAAUAGUUGUCCACAUAAGUGCACUCUUCUAUGCCAUCCUGGAUCUUGUCCACAAUGUACAGCAAUGGUAACAAAAUAUUGUGGCUGUGGUAAAACUCAGCAAACAGUACAGUGUAGCACUCAGAAAUUAUUGCUGUGCGAGUCUAUAUGUGGCAAAAAUUUAAAAUGUGGCAGGCAUAAAUGUCAAAGUAAAUGUCAUCAUGGAGAAUGUGCAAAUUGUGAAGAAACAAUAACGCAAAAGUGUUAUUGUGGCAAAAGUACAAAAGAAAUAACUUGCCAGAGUAAUAUUUCGUUCACAUAUUCUUGUGGAACUAUUUGCGGUAAAUUGUUAGAAUGUGGUAAUCACACUUGUACAAAAUUGUGUCAUGCGGACGCUUGCGAAUCCUGUUCUUUAACUCCUGACAAAAUUACAACUUGUUGCUGUGGGCAAACACCAUUAAUAGAUAAGAGACAAACUUGCUUAGAUUCAAUCCCAGUCUGUGACAAAAUAUGUUUGAAAAAUUUGAAAUGCGGGCAGCCUAAUAAUCCUCAUAAGUGUAAAGUGAAGUGUCAUGUAGGGGAUUGUCCUGUUUGUGACUUAAUUACCAAUGUUAGAUGCCGCUGCGGAAACAUGGAUAGGGAAAUAGCUUGUAAAGAUUUGAUAUCAAAAGCUGAUGAUGCACGGUGUGAAAAGAGAUGUAUAAAAAAAAGGUCUUGUGGGAAGCACAAAUGUAACCAACUGUGUUGCAUAGAGAUAGAACAUAUUUGUCCAUUAAUAUGUUCUAAAACUUUAAGCUGUGGGAGGCAUAAAUGUGAACAAAGCUGUCAUAAAGGAAGGUGUCAACCUUGUUGGCGAAGUAGUUUUGAUGAAUUAUAUUGUGAAUGCGGGGCUUCUGUGAUAUAUCCUCCUGUUCCUUGCGGGACAAGAAGACCUAUAUGUGACAGACCUUGCUCUCGACAGCACUCUUGUGGCCACGAAAUAUUACAUAAUUGUCAUAGUGAAUUAAACUGUCCGCCUUGUACUGUUCUUACUCAAAGAUGGUGUCAUGGCAAACAUGAGUUACGAAAAGCUGUACCAUGCUAUGUUAACGAAAUUUCAUGUGGUUUGUCAUGUAACAAGCCCAUAUCCUGUGGCCGACAUAAAUGCAUUACUAUUUGUCAUUCUGGACCAUGUGAAAAACCAGGACAACAAUGUUCUCAGCCUUGUACCGUUCAAAGGGAACUGUGUGGACACAUCUGUGCUGCUCCGUGUCACGAGGGUAAAUGUCCAGACACACCUUGCAAGGAGAUGGUUAAGGUGACGUGUCAGUGUGGGCAUAGGACUAUGUCGCGUGUUUGCGCCGAAAAUUCUAAAGAAUAUCAGAGAAUAGCAAGUAGCAUAUUAGCUAGUAAAAUGGCUGAUAUGCAAUUAGGUCAUUCUAUUAAUUUGGAAGAAGUAUUUGGUCAAGGAGCAAAGAAGCAGAAUCAGUUAAAAACUUUAGAAUGCAAUGAUGAAUGUAAAAUAAUAGAACGGAAUAGAAGAUUGGCAUUGGGUUUGCAAAUUGUAAAUCCAGAUUUAAGUGGAAAAUUAAUGCCUAGAUACAGUGAUUUUAUGAAACAGUGGGCUAAAAAGGAUCCUCAUUUUUGUCAGAUGGUUCAUGACAAAUUAACCGAGUUGGUUCAAUUAGCAAAAACCUCUAAACAAAAAUCACGCAGUUAUUCCUUUGAUAGCAUGAACAAAGAUAAACGUCAUUUUAUUCACGAGUCUUGUGAACAUUUUGGUUGUGAAAGCCAGGCGUAUGAUCAGGAGCCAAAAAGAAAUGUUGUUGCGACUGCUGUAAAAGACAAGUGUUGGUUACCUAGUUAUAGUUUAUUAGAGAUUGUACAACGGGAAAAUGGUCAGAGAAAAGUUCCAGGUCCAAUGUUAAAUACUACAAAAGCUGAUGGAUCCGUGAAGACAAUAUUAUCACUGCCUGCGAAAAAGAUCCAAAAGCCAGAGACAACAUUAAGCAUAAAAACAUCAGAACCAGAAAUAGAUUAUUUUGAUUAUAAGGGUUAAGAUUACUAUCUCCGUAUUACAUAAAGUGUAAGUAAUAUAAGCGAUGAAAUUAAUAUCAUAAUUAGAAAAAAUGCUGUUAAAUAUAAUGGAUUAACUAAACAUUUUAAUAAUAUUUAUUCUUUGUAACACAUAUACACAUAUACACAUAUAGACAUAUACACAUAUAUACACAUACACACACGCGCGCACGCACGCACGCACGCACGCACGCACGCUACCAUAAUAUAUGUAUACAUAUAUGUAGAGUGACCCAGAUAAAUGGGAUCACCUAAGCAUUUGCCUUAUUUAUUACUGUUGUAUGAAAAAACUUUUCAGUACAAUUCAAGGGCCACAUGCAACGGUGAAAACAGCUCUAUUUCAUGGUCAUUUUUCUUACAAGAUUACAAGUGGUGGACAUCACCAGUUUUUUUUUUUUCUUUUAAAUAGAGCUGUAUAUAUUUAUUUUUCCAUAUCCUUAUAGAGCACGAAAAAAACAAAUUCAAUGACCUUAAUAGCUACCUUAAUACCGUUUCCAUCACUUAAUCUUCAGAUACUUGCGUUUGAAUUGUACAUAAAUGAUAUUUAAUUAUGUUCAAUCGUUUCAAUGGUAGAAUAAAAGAAUGCAAAAUUUCCGACUUCAGAGCAGAAUUUUCUAACUUUUAAGUUUAAUUUAUUAGUGCCACACGUCACAACUGUUAUAAGACAAAUUUUUAAAGUUACUAUAUGGUAUAAGAGUUAAUGUCUUGGAUUAAAAAGUUUUGGUUUCAAAUAAUCAUUAUAAAUGAUUAAGAUUUUCUUUACUACCGGUAAUCAUUAUCGAUGACAAGAAUUUUAUUUUGAUUGUGAAUAAUCUGUAAAUAGCUCAUCACAAGUGGCCGUCAUGUAUAAACAGAGGACGUUAAAAUCAGUAACGUGUCGAAUUUCUUAGUUGGUAUAGCAGUCACGUUGGGCCACUAAGGUUCAUAAAGUGAUUUGUCUCGUGGUAUAUUUCGUCUGUGACGCAGCCCACUGGCUCGUAGGACACUGUUUUUUACAUUGCACGAGAGGUCUAUCUUAUCUUUAGUCCAUGAUGUUGUCAUUGAUAAUAUAUGUAUACAUAAUAUGGUUACAUCGAUAAUAUAGUUCCCUUCGUCGUCUGAUAAAGUAGGUUACCUCUUUAACUUGAAGUUGGUGCGGUGUGCUUCUUUGGCCUGAACUCCGAAGUCUGUCACAAUCCUGGCCAAUAGGGCCCAUAUAUAUGAAAAUUGAGCGCUCCUAUUGGCGCAAUGUAUUGCGGUGUGAAAUCGAGGGUGCCUAUUGGUGCAGAAUAUUGUCAAAGUCAAAUCGAGCGCGCCUAUUGGUGCGAAAUAUUGGAAAGUCGUAGUUUCUCGGAGAAACAUACCGUGGAGUGUGACGUUGUACUCUUGACAAUCGUGGAGCGAAAAUUCGUCCCGUCGAGCGUUACCCUGUCAUUAUUGGCACUUUCAUUUCAAGUUUACCAACAUUUCUACACUUCUAUCUGCUUCAUUCAAAUAAUUAUUGGCUGGUCACGUGACUGAAAGGAUAGAGGUUCAUCACAUCGCCACAGAUGCCAUAGGCGAUUAAUAAUCGAUAAUUCGAACUGAUACGAAAUGGACGCUACAGAUGAUUAUUAAUAAUCGAGUCGUUGAUUUCUCGUGCAGAUUUAGUAACGAUCGAGGUAUUAGAACAAAGCAGACGAUACGAUAUUCUGUGUGGCCACUGUGUACGCGGUGUAUUUUUAUUAGGAAAUGCUUAUACGCAUCUCUUUAUUAUACGUAUCUUUGAUUACGAUACACCAAGUAUUCGAAGUUUACCAAUUAUGGUAUCCUACGAUCAAAGGAAACAAAAUCGAAUGAAAGAUGAAGAAGAAUAAAAGAUGAUCUCAUAGGUGGAGUAGACAUUUUAUUGAAACGGAAGCUACUAUUAACACACACUUUACAUCUAUAUAUCGUCUCAUGGCACAAUUUUUACAUAUUCGUAACAUAUUAAACAUAUCUGUAACCAUGUAUUCUAAUAAUACACAAACUCAAAAUUUAACGAGAGCGCAUAACAUUUACAUGUCUUUGUUUACUAAAAUUAUUAUAGCACCAUAAUUCACGGUAUUAUUCUAUUACAAGAAUUUUUUAAACACGAUAAAAGAAUGAUAUAGUUAUGACUUUCACUUAUAUUUAUUUACUUUAAGAUUAUAUUAAACUACGAAAAAAAUGUAUCGUCUUAUACGUUAUUUGUCUUAACAACUUUAUCUAAAUUCCUUUUGAAAUUUGUUGCAUUUAAAUUCAUAUUUUCAUCCAUAUUUUCAUCCAUAUUUUCAUCCAUAUUAAAUCCAUAUACAGAUAACAUUCUGUAAGCGCAUAAAUAUGUAACUGUUCAUCGUGAUAGAUAGUAAUAAAAGUGAAAGGACAAUCAUAAAAUAUUGCUUUAAUAAUACAACGAUAUAAAAGGAUAUAUACUAAUGAAUAGUCUCUCUAUCUGAUUCUAGAUAAUGAAUAUUCCUGGUUCGAUUCCUGAGAAAAGAAUUAUCGAAAGAAACUAUUUCGAAUGUUACAAAAUUUUAUAAAAUUUUUAAUAAAAGUGCAAAAUGGUUUACGUGGUUUAUAUAAUGAUAUAUUUUUAUACAUAGAUAUAAUGUACUGCAUAUGAUGAAACGUAGAACUUGUAAGGAGUAUAAAAGAGUAUUUUUGUAAUAAGGAACGAGAGAGAGA